rnacentral:rRNA from 1 species
CCUACGGGAGGCAGCAGUGAGGAAUAUUGGUCAAUGGUCGGGAGACUGAACCAGCCAAGCCGCGUGAGGGAGGAAGGUACAGAGUAUCGUAAACCUCUUUUGUCAGGGAACAAAGGCGGGGACGUGUCCCCGGAUGAGUGUACCUGAAGAAAAAGCAUCGGCUAACUCCGUGCCAGCAGCCGCGGUAAUACGGAGGAUGCGAGCGUUAUCCGGAUUUAUUGGGUUUAAAGGGUGCGCAGGCGGACUGUUAAGUCAGCGGUAAAAGCCCGGGGCCCAACCCCGGCCCGCCGUUGAAACUGGCAGUCUCGAGUUGGAGAGAGGUAUGCGGAAUGCGCGGUGUAGCGGUGAAAUGCAUAGAUAUCGCGCAGAACUCCGAUUGCGAAGGCAGCAUGCCGGCUCCACACUGACGCUGAGGCACGAAAGCGUGGGUAUCGAACAGGAUUAGAUACCCGAGUAGUC